AGUCAAGGAGAACAUUAUCUUCGGAUAAUAAGUAAACUGGCGAACGGGUGAGUAACGCGUAAAUAACUUGCCUCAGAGAUUGGGACAACAUUGGGAAACCAGUGCUAAUACCAAAUAAUGCAGCGGGCUCUCAGGAGCACAGUUGUUAAAGUAGGCUUCGGCUUACACUUUGAGAUAGGUUUGCGUCCGAUUAGUUUGUUGGUAGGGUAACUGCCUACCAAGACUAAGAUCGGUAGCUGGUCUGAGAGGAUGAUCAGCCACACUGGAAUUGAGAUACGGUCCAGACUCCUACGGGAGGCAGCAGUAAGGAAUUUUGCACAAUGGGCGAAAGCCUGAUGCAGCAACGCCGCGUGAACGAUGAAGUUUUUAGGAAUGUAAAGUUCUGUCGUAUGGGAAGAGAUAUUUCGAAUGUUAAUACCAUUCGUUAAUGACGGUACCAUACAAGAAAGCACCGGCUAACUUCGUGCCAGCAGCCGCGGUAAUACGAGGGGUGCUAGCGUUGU
rnacentral:rRNA from 1 species